AAUCCUGUAGUCGAAAAUGUUGUCUCUCUUGAGUGGAUCCUGAGUACGACGGAGCACGUGAAAUUCCGUCGGAAUCUGGGAGGACCAUCUCCUAAGGCUAAAUACUCUCUAGUGACCGAUAGUGAACCAGUACCGUGAGGGAAAGGUGAAAAGCACCCCGGAAGGGGAGUGAAAUAGAACCUGAAACCGUGUGCUUACAAGUAGUCAGAGCCCGUUAAUGGGUGAUGGCGUGCCUUUUGUAGAAUGAACCGGCGAGUUACGAUUUGAUGCAAGGUUAAGCGGUAAAUGUGGAGCCGUAGCGAAAGCGAGUCUGAAUAGGGCGUUUAGUAUUUGGUCGUAGACCCGAAACCAGGUGAUCUACCCUUGGUCAGGUUGAAGUUCAGGUAACACUGAAUGGAGGACCGAACCGACUUACGUUGAAAAGUGAGCGGAUGAACUGAGGGUAGCGGAGAAAUUCCAAUCGAACCUGGAGAUAGCUGGUUCUCUCCGAAAUAGCUUUAGGGCUAGCCUCAAGUGAUGAUUAUUGGAGGUAGAGCACUGUUUGGACGAGGGGCCCCUCUCGGGUUACCGAAUUCAGACAAACUCCGAAUGCCAAUUAAUUUAACUUGGGAGUCAGAACAUGGGUGAUAAGGUCCGUGUUCGAAAGGGAAACAGCCCAGACCACCAGCUAAGGUCCCAAAAUAUAUGUUAAGUGGAAAAGGAUGUGGCGUUGCCCAGACAACUAGGAUGUUGGCUUAGAAGCAGCCAUCAUUUAAAGAGUGCGUAAUAGCUCACUAGUCGAGUGACACUGCGCCGAAAAUGUACCGGGGCUAAACAUAUUACCGAAGCUGUGGAUUGUCCUUUGGACAAUGGUAGGAGAGCGUUCUAAGGGCGUUGAAGCAUGAUCGUAAGGACAUGUGGAGCGCUUAGAAGUGAGAAUGCCGGUGUGAGUAGCGAAAGACGGGUGAGAAUCCCGUCCACCGAUUGACUAAGGUUUCCAGAGGAAGGCUCGUCCGCUCUGGGUUAGUCGGGUCCUAAGCUGAGGCCGACAGGCGUAGGCGAUGGAUAACAGGUUGAUAUUCCUGUACCACCUAUAAUCGUUUUAAUCGAUGGGGGGACGCAGUAGGAUAGGCGAAGCGUGCGAUUGGAUUGCACGUCUAAGCAGUAAGGCUGAGUAUUAGG
rnacentral:rRNA from 1 species